rnacentral:rRNA from 1 species
CACGUAGGGGGCAAGCGUUGCCCGGAUUUAUUGGGCGUAAAGAGCUCGUAGGCGGUUCGGCAAGUCGGGUGUGAAACCCCCAGGCUCAACCUGGGGACGCCACCCGAUACUGCUGUGACUUGAGUCCGGUAGGGGAGCGUGGAAUUCCUGGUGUAGCGGUGAAAUGCGCAGAUAUCAGGAGGAACACCAGCGGCGAAGGCGGCGCUCUGGGCCGGAACUGACGCUGAGACGCGAAAGCGUGGGGAGCAAACAGG